AGCAGAAGUUUCGAGCAUGCCGAUGUCCACAGUUCGACUGCUCCAACCUCGGCGAUUCUCUACCCAAGCUCGAAUGAGGAGCGUGGAGGGGAGGUCGAUCGCCUUCGCCUUUACGAUCGAGAUGGUCAUCUUGGAAUGACCCGUGACGUCACGGACUUCGCAAACAAUUUCAAUUAAAUCUCUCCCAAUCAA